AGUAUAAGCACGCCGCGCGUUUGCAUACGGCCUUGUCGGCUGGCUAGAUAUUUAUUUCGUCCGGCCCCAUAUAACGUUUGCCCUCGGCCGUCGUCGAGGAGAGCGGGCCUGCGUACGUCCUCCGCUACCCUCGGGCCGUGCGUGGCCGUGGAUCGGAUGGACGAUCAUCUGGCGGUGCUGGCGCGCGGCGAGGGGUGGACGGAGGAGCGGCACGCGGCGUUCCUCGACGGCGUCGAGCGCUCCUUCGUGCAGGAGGUGCUCGUGGGCGCCGCCGGCGUCAGCGAGGAGCGGCGGGCGUCGCGCAGGCUCUGCCACCGGGGGCCGCCGCCCGCCGGCGGCCGCGGCCAGCUCCCGCUGGAUCGCCCCCUCCCCGACAGCGCCGUGGAGUCCAACCGCCGGGGACCCUCCCGGCCCGCAGCCCGCGACGCCAAAUGACGCAGGUUGGUCGAUUUAUGGCUACGAUCAUUCUUUCCUUCCGCAGCAAGCACGCCGGUCAUACAACUCCACCGCAAAGAACGUCAACACGUCUCUCAUCCACACAGCUGUACUCGUUGCACGUAACGUUCAGUACAAUGGUUGCGUCUCAUGAAUCUGAAGUUAACAAGCUAGCUAGAGUGAUAAAUUUCCUUCUAGAACCGUAGCCUCCAAAGUCCAAAGUUGUAUGCGUCGCAGUGGAAGUGAUGUUUUCCAGAUCUGUGCAGUUAUGCCGAUAUUUGUCUUUGUCAAUGUGCCUUUCAUGGCGGGGCAUGGUGUGUAUGUUGGUGAUGCACUAGUUCAUCAUUUAUCUUAAGGAGCUCUCUUCAUAAAA